CUUAUCCCAGCUAAUUUGGGGUUUUGGUGAAGAAAGAUUCACAUUUCUGAACAUACAUUUCUGACACUUUUAAAGCAAUCCUAUUGCACCUUUCACCAGAACUAUCCCAGCUCAUAUCACUUCUCUGGGGGAUAUAACAGGUGUGCAGGACCUAGCCAGAAAGGAUUGCCUGGAAAAUUUAAAGAGGGUCUUCCGUAGAAAACCAUAAAAGGAUCACUAGAAGCAAUUUUGUUGGAUGAGAACAUGUUUCAUUCCAGUGAUACCAUAAAGUCUGGCUUCAAAGAUCUUUCCUGGAAUUUGGUCCUUACCUCACUCAAACACAAAGAGGAAGAGUGGCUUUAAACUUACGGAGUGGUGGUGCUGCCACAGCUCAUGAUUUGGUCAGGUGUAUAGUAUUUCUUCUGAAAGCUUGGGAUCUUGGGUUCAGAUGACUCAGUGGGACUCUCAACAUUAAGGAAACAAAAAAUGGAGUGUCUUCAGGAUCUGGACAACAGCUUGGAGACAACCACAUUUCUAAUGUUAAUAUCAGACAGCAGACAAGAGUUAAAAGUCAAUGUCAGAAAGUACUUAAAAGUACUGCUGAUUAAAAGGCAUUUUUUUGCUUUGUUUUCAGAUUUUAGAUCCCUUCUUAUAUUCUGUGGCCCUUGACUCAUAUCUGCUGCAUGUCAGAGCUUGGCAAUCCUCUGACUUCACCACAGCCAGGAACAUUUUAUGAGUCUUCCCCUUUGGAGUUGUGGGUGCGCCUCUUCAGAGCUGGGGAAGGCUGGGGCAGGGGUGGAAGUCUUCUGCUGGCAGCUAUGGGAGGGUCAAGGAGGCAAUCACUUCCCACAGUCACAGAGGCAUCAGACACCUGUGUAUCUGCCUUGGACAGAUAUUUCCUGCCCCGCAGCCCUAGAGUUCUGUUUGUUCCUCCACAGCCCAGACCCAGGAGCCAAGCAGUGCUGGGGAUAACUCAAGUCUCCUUGGUGGCUCAUUAGUAGCUGAAGAGGGGACUCAGGGGAAAACAUUUCUGUGUGAAAUUCCUGAAGGGCUGCAGCCUCCCUAAUUGAUGGUGUCAAACCUACAAGAGUGCAUGUGCCAAGGCUAGCACAGAGAGUUGGUGUGCUGUUGUGCCCCCUCCCUCAAGCCUCCCUGUACAGCUUCUCUUCUCCAUUUCUACUCUGUUGUCACUGGAGACCGUGGCUGCGAGCACACCCAAGAGACCGUCUUUCUUCUUUGCUUGGGCCUUAGCAGUUUAUAGCAACUAGUGAACAUGAGGAUGGAGAGCUUUUGCUGAGCACUGCCUGGAAAACAAGAGCAUACUCCCUCUUCUGUCGUCUUCCGCGCCUCUGGCCAUGCAACCCAGCAGCAGCUCCUGCACAUGCAUAAAGUGCCACGAGCUUCCUCCAUGUUUAUUAUUGCUAUCUGCCUUCUCCAGCCAGCAUGGAGGUGAGUUGUGCUGGGUGGCAGGACUGGUGCUCAUCCAACUCCUCUGCAGGCUAUCCCUUUCUUCUGUUGCACAAGAAGAAGGUGUGCAUGUGCACACAUUUAUGUGCACACAUGUGCAUGUGUGUGUGCAUGAGCAGAGUCUGACAUUGCUUACUUGGCGCAGAGUAGGUCAAGGUAGGGGAAAGCAUUGUUUAGUCCCUACAUGCCCGCAUGGGAGAGAGGGAGGUGUUCUCUGUGCUGGAUGUGCAAGUGACAUGAACUACUUUAAUCUUCAUUUUUGCCAUUUCCUGCUCCCUGGAAAAAGAAGGAAAGUAAAGUCAGUCCUGAACCACUCACUAUGUGGUGUAUCCUGCCUUAAACAGAGUUUAUAGCAAAGCUACAGUUUAAUAGCAGCCCCUUAAUGAGUCACUCCAGUAGUUUCUUUCUGGAGGAAAAAUGGGAUUAAAAGUAAUUUAAAAUUAUCAAUGCUUCUCCAGUAUUUCACUAUCUGUCCAGUCCUUGACAUUCAAGAAGAACCUAGCUCUGAAAAAAAUCUAUUUGCUAAAAAUAUUGCAAGCCAAAUUUUUAAUUAUUAUGUGGAUGCCCAUUUCUCAUACUACUCACUUAGAAAGUAACACAAUGAAAUGCUUCAUUCCCCAUUAGGAGCUGCUGAGAAAAUGCUGGAGAUACAUUAAAACAUCAAGCUUUCAGAUGACUGCAACUUCUCUGAAAUACUAUUAAAGACAACCAAAAAUGUCUCCAUUAGAAAUACAAAACCAUUUUGUGACCAAUCCUCUCCUUGGAAGCUUUAUUGUAGUUCUAAAGUCAAUUCCUACUCUGUUUUUUUUUUAGAUACAUACUAAACUGUAUUGUGAGAAAAGUAUAAAGAAUUUUUAUUUCCAUUAGAGUUUAUUUUAAUCACCUAAAAAUCAUUCUUAUGGAAAUGAGAAAGACAAAAAGAUUCCCCAGGGACUGAGAAACUUCUCUGAUUUGCAUCAUUAACACUGAAAAGAACUUGCCUGGAAAUGGCCCCUUCACGUUUUCUUUUAUUUACAUUUCCAGACAAAAAUAAAAUUAAUUUCAACAAGGUUUCUUCUAGAUUCAUAUCCCACUUUGAUUAGUCUAGCUAUUCAAACAUGAAUAUAGCUUUCUGUGCUUUGAUGGACUGAUUUAGUCUUUGUUAUACUGGAAUUAUUUCCUUUUUUUUUUUAGUUUUUUACCCCAUUUGUAAAGGGCUUGCAACAUGGGGACUCUCAGAGAUCAGUGAUUGUAUUAGCAUUCAUAAUUAACACCAGUAGUUGUUAAGACACUUUUUGAACGAUUACCAUUUGUGGCGCAGAAUGAGAGAAAAGUGACAUUCAUUUAACUAAACUCUGCAGUUUUUGUUUAACAAGCCUGUCCAAGCAUAAGCAAAAUGAAAAAACAGAGAACACUAAAUAUGUAUUCUAAUGCAGACAAAUUUCUAUGAUAAAGUAGUUCUUUCAUGGCUCAAAUCAAAAUUUUAAACAGUUUACCUUCUUUGUGUCUUCUGAAGAGUUUUACGUAACAAACUUUCAGUGUCAUCACUAAUAGCAGUUCAUGCCAAGGAUUACUUUCUUAAAACUGCUACUCAAGCCUUGUGAUUUGCAGUACACUUCUUAUUACAGGAUACAUUAUGCAGAAACCCUCUGCUAUGUGAUGGGACAUGGCAACCCUGCUGUGAGAAUGCCUAUCAGCGCUUCUUUUAAGGCCCUUUCUCAAUUGUCAGCAAAGUAUUUUUUAAGGUUAAAAGGUGUAAAAUUAUUCUGAAAUGCUUUUCUGACCUGUCGCCUAUCACUGCAAAAAGCUAUAGUUCUUUUUUUUUCUAAAAUUGUAUUUUUUAAAUGUGAUAAUAUUAUAAGAAUAAAGCUAGUAAGAGAAAUAUA